rnacentral:lncRNA from 1 species
CAGCCUAAGUUACUACAAACUUAAACCCGUAUACUCCUGUAACCUUCUGGAGGAGGCAACAGAGAACAGAGGGCUUCUUUUCAACAUCUCACACCAAAAGGUUCAAGAUGGAAAGAUGUGAACAGUAAUCCUCAACCCCUUCCCCUGCAAUAAGAGCCUAGCCAGGAGGAGCAUG